UCCGGAAUUACUGGGUGUAAAGGGCGCGUAGGCGGGAAAGCAAGUCAGAUGUGAAAACCAUGGGCUCAACCUGUGGCCUGCAUUUAAAACUGUUUUUCUUGAGUACAGGAGAGGAAAGCGGAAUUCCUAGUGUAGCGGUGAAAUGCGUAGAUAUUAGGAGGAACACCAGUGGCGAAGGCGGCCUGCUGGACAGUAACUGACGCUGAGGCACGAAAGCGUGGGGAGCAAACAGGAUUAGAUACCCUGGUAGU
rnacentral:rRNA from 1 species